rnacentral:rRNA from 1 species
CUUAUUGGAGCUCGAAUGAAGGUUUAACAUAUAAUUCUUGGUUAUGGGUUUUUUGAUAAUUUAUAUUUUGCGUAAAAAUACGUAAAUGGGUUAAAGGGACGAUAAGACCCUAAAAGCUUUAUUUUUAAAGAAAUAUUCUUUAUUGUUUUAAUCUUAAUUUUUUGUAAAAUUUUUGGCUGGGGCAGCAUUUUUUUUUAACAAAAAAAUUUUUUUGCAGGUAGGUUUAAAGGUCCUUUAUAUAAGGAUAGUUUGUUUUAGUUACUUUAGGGAUAACAGCGCGAUAAUAAUGGGGAGACCUUAUUUAUAUUAUUGAUUGUGACCUCGAUGUUGAAUUAAUAUCUCUGUGUAAAGCAGAAAUUAUUUUUAGAAAGUUUGUUCAACUUUUAAAUUAUUACAUGAUCUGGUUU